rnacentral:rRNA from 1 species
GACGAACGCUGGCGGCGUGCUUAACGCAUGCAAGUCGAGCGGUAAGGCCCUUUCGGGGGUACGACGAGCGGCGAACGGGUGAGUAACACGUGGGUGACCUGCCCUUAGCUCUGGGAUAAGCCUGGGAAACUGGGUCUAAUACCGGAUAUGACUCCAUAACGCAUGUUGUGGGGUGGAAAGCCUUGUGCGGCUAGGGAUGGGCCCGCGGCCUAUCAGCUUGUUGGUGGGGUGAUGGCCACCAAGGCGACGACGGGUAGCCGGCCUGAGAGGGCGACCGGCCACACUGGGACUGAGACACGGCCCAGACUCCUACGGGAGGCAGCAGUGGGGAAUCUUGCGCAAUGGGCGAAAGCCUGACGCAGCGACGCCGCGU